rnacentral:lncRNA from 1 species
UCACAAGAUAGACAGCUACAUACAGUCACACAUGAGCAUGCAUCAAUCCUGUGAGGUCUCACGCGAUCGUCCAUUGUACGAUGGACGAUGGAUGGUGCAUGCUGUCACAACAGAAGAUGCAUGUUCUGAAAUAUAAAAGAUGAAUAGAUGAGACAGGGAUAGGAUAUUAAAAGAUAAAUAAAAAAAUAAUUAAUAAAAAAAAAGAAAAAAAAGGUAAAAAAAUCAAAAUGAUGUGAGAGA